rnacentral:rRNA from 1 species
AGCGAAAUGCGAUACUUGGUGUGAAUUGCAGAAUCCCGUGAACCAUCGAGUCUUUGAACGCAAGUUGCGCCCGAAGCCAUUAGGCCAAGGGCACGCCUGCCUGGGUGUCACCAAUCGCCGCCCCCACCCCAGCGCCUCCGGGCCACGGUGCGGGGCGAAUGCUGGCCUCCCGUGAGCAUCCGCCUCGCGGCUGGCCGAAAAUCGGGUGCGCGGCGGAGUGCGGCGCCAUGACAGACGGUGGUUGAGCGCGAUCUCGAGGCCAGUCAUGCGCGUCCCCCCGCCGGCUACGGACCCCGUUGCGACCCGCGAGCGAUGCCGAUCGCCCAUGAUGCGACCUCAGGUCAGGCGG